AUUGAACGCUGGCGGCAGGCCUAACACAUGCAAGUCGAGCGGAUGAGUGGAGCUUGCUCCAUGAUUCAGCGGCGGACGGGUGAGUAAUGCCUAGGAAUCUGCCUGGUAGUGGGGGACAACGUUUCGAAAGGGACGCUAAUACCGCAUACGUCCUACGGGAGAAAGUGGGGAUCUUCGGACCUCACGCUAUCAGAUGAGACUAGGUCGGAUUAGCUAGUUGGUGAGGUAAAGGCUUACCAAGGCGACGAUCCGUAACUGGUCUGAGAGGAUGAUCAGUCACACUGGAACUGAGACACGGUCCAGACUCCUACGGGAGGCAGCAGUGGGGAAUAUUGGACAAUGGGCGAAAGCCUGAUCCAGCCAUGCCGCGUGUGUGAAGAAGGUCUUCGGAUUGUAAAGCACUUUAAGUUGGGAGGAAGGGCAGUAAGUUAAUACCUUGCUGUUUUGACGUUACCAACGGAAUAAGCACCGGCUAACUUCGUGCCAGCCGCCGCGGUAACAC
rnacentral:rRNA from 1 species